AAACUCACCAGGUCAGGACACGGUAAGGAUUGACGGACUGAAGGCUCUUUCUCGAUUCCGUGGAAAGUGGUGCAUGGCCGUUUUGGUUGGUGGAUCGAUCCGUCUGGUUAAUUCCGUUAACGAACGAGACCUCGGCACUCCGAAUAGCGCGGCGGACGUCGCGGCCUCCGGGCCGUCUUCCGCACGAGCUUCUUAGAGGGACCGUCCCCCGCCGGGGAAGGAGGUGCGAGGCAACGACAGGUCUGUGAUGCCCUUAGAUGUUCUGGGCCGCACGCGCAUUACACUGACGCGUCCAACGGGUGACUCCCGACCCGAAGGGGCCGGGGAAUCCGCAAGGCGCGUCGUGAUGGGGAUUGAACGUUGCAAUUGUUGUUCACGAACGAGGAAUUCCUAGUAGGCGCGGGUCAUCAACCCGCGCCGAUUACGUCCCUGCCCUUUGUACACACCG
rnacentral:rRNA from 1 species